rnacentral:lncRNA from 1 species
GUUCACUGUGUUGCAUCUGAUACCAGAGAGAAAAUAGCAAAGGGGAAAAAAAAAACUCCUAAAUUUAAAAAAUUUUAGAACAACAUAUAGGUUAGAAUUAAAACCAAAACAGAACAAAAUAUGCAAAGGAGACAAUGAAAACCAGAGAUAUAAAUAAUAUACAAAAGAGGUUAGUCCUCAGAUUGUAUAAGGAUUAUCCACACAUAAACUAAAUAAAACCCAGUGAUUCAGAAGCAAAAACAAAAGUAUCAAAACAGACAGACAAAAAAACAAAACAAAAAAAAACAAAAGGAAUUUUGGAAAACAGACUCUCUAGUCAGAAACAUGUUUCACAAUGUGAAUGAGAGAGGACAGCAGUGACAGGAGGUAGUGACAUACAAGUCUUACACUAUUGAGUCUCAGCAAGAAUUUGACAAUCCUUGCUGCUCCAGGGGAUGUGAGCUGAUAAGACCUCUCCAGACAACUUUCUAGAGAUGUAUUAUAGUGUAGCAGUAAUACACACAUUGACCCAAAAACCUGACUUUUAAAUAUCAGUUAUAGACAACCUCACUACUCUGGACAUGAACCAAUUAAGACAAAGUAGAAGGGCUGAGACAGGUAACUCCUCAGGUUCCAACCCAAAGCUAUGAAGUGCAAUAUUAAAGGAGUGGCUGCAACUCGGCAUUCAGUGUCCUUCAUUUUAUCUUGAACUAACAAUAAGCCAUUCUGUAUUUUGGAGAAAAUGUGUCAUUGAAAUCCAUCUUAAUAGAUUCCCAGUGAAUGAAUUAGCUGUUAAAAGAAGCUGAAAUAUCUCCAAACCAUUUGAAUGAAAUUUAAUAGGCAAGUUGAUUAAAAUUUAAUAGCAAACUUGUUGGCUAUUAAAAGUGCACAGUGUGAUAAAUCAAGGUGUCAGGUCUUCAAUUUAUGACUAAAGAAAAAAGUGACAAAUGAGCUCUUGACUUUCAACAAAAUAUUGCUUCUUUGACACUUUGUAACUUCAUUCAUUGUUUGAAAUGAAACAUUAAAAUAGGAACUUAUGUUGCGAGUUAUUUUACAUAAUUUUAAGGGAGCCAGACAGAUUGCAUUAGUUGUUUUCUUAAUAAAUGACUUCAUGUUGAAUACAUGAGAUUAUCUAUUCCAUAGUGUAAGCCUACAAAUCUGAAAUGAAUAUUGAUCACAUUGUCAUAGGCGAGAGUGAAGGAACAGUUAUUACUUUGUUAUAAAGAAAAAGUAAUGGAAAGAAAACCAAAUAUUUAAGAUAAAUUGUGUCUUUGGAUUGUUUCUCUGAGUUUUUAAAAGGCUCUUUGUAAAAGAAACUACCUAUUUUCAUUUUACUAGCCUAUUUUGCAUAGCUUAAUAUAAAAUAAUCAAAUCAUAUUGAAAAAUAUAUGAGAGAAUAUUAUUGAACCCCUUGAAGGAUCAGAAUAAAAUUCAGUUGAAAUCUUUUUUGUUGAAGGGGAUUCUAAAAAUAUUUGAAAACCACUGUUUUAAAUAUUUGCAUGUGAGUCUACCAGUGUCUUGUGUGACCUUGAAUCAAAAAAGUGUAUGUUCAAACAAGAUAGAAUUACAAAGAACAGAGUGGAGGAUGAGUUAAGGAAAAGAAUUAUCAUGGUAAAGCUGAUUAGGGUAGACAGAUAUUUAUCUUCCCCGUAAAUAAGACAUUGAACAUGAGGCUUUAUUGUUCUGUAUUUCUAAGGAAAGGUUGUAUUCUCUUAUCUUCUUGAAUCAUUAAGACUUCAAAUCACAUCUUUUUAUUUUUUUAAGCCUUCUAAAUUUGGUGUAUCAAUGAGAAAUACAAGCACACUAAAAAUGCAGUGGGAGGCAUAGUACACCAUACCAAUCAAGUUAUUUUUAGAGCUUAUCAGUAUACUUUUGUUAGCUGGCUGUCAAGAAGAAAUGCUGUUUGAAAUAUUUCUCCCAAGGAUAAAAUAGAAGUUCAAGUGUGAUCCAGGCUUUCAUGCUGUCUCAGAUCUGUCUCCUGCUUCACAGUUUGAAAGCACAGUGCUCAGAACUAACCCAGGUUACAUAGUCAUCCUGAUGUCCUGAUAUCAGAACAUGCACUCUCGUGCCAGAAGGAAAGAGACAGUAUGUUCUAUGGGGAAACUCCUAGUUGAAACAAUAAGGCUUGCUCUUUUACUGUUUGUGGUGCAUUCAUUCAAAAGAUUUUGUUAUCAGUCUUAAACUUCAGGUGUUCAUAAAGGAAAAACUAAGUAAAGGACCCACCCUUUGAAAUGACUGUCUUUUCCAAGGUUUACAACUUGAUUGUCUCAAACCCAUAAGGCAGCUUCUCUGGGUUGUUCAACAUAGAACAUGAAUAUCCUAUUUGAUGUGCAUCUUUCUUGCAUCAGAAAUAAAAGGCUAAGGGAUUGGCUCUUUCUGAAUAACUGCAUAUGUUGAAAUUCAGUCUUAAUUCCUUUUCAUAUUUUACUAGACAUCUAAAUCUCACUUCUGUAGCAAGUAUAUAGGUAUGAAAGGUAAUAACCAUUCCAAAUCCAUUCAUACUAGGAAAUAGACAUGUUUACAUAGCUACUUCAUUUUUAGCCUAAUUUAGCUUGUAUUUCUCCCUUUGAAUUCUGACAGAUACUUUGGUUUGGUUGUUUGGGGACCUUGUUGUUACUACCAAACAUUUGAGAAACAUUUUAGCAGUACAAAUAGUUCUAUAAUUGUUUAUUUCUGCCUGAACAAUUUCAGUAGUAGAUGUAGCCAGUGUUGUCUUUGAAGCAAAGAAUAAAACACCUUCAGCAUUUGGCCCAGAGACCCCUUUUAAAAUUCAGAUUGGUAGUAGAGGAAUGAUUAGGAGGUUAAGGGUUCUUCUGACCCUUCAGAUGAUGUGGGUUUGGUUCGUGGCACCCACAUGGUGACUCCCAACUAUCCAGAGAGUCUGAUAGGCCAUCUGCUGUCUUCUGCGGGAACCAAGUAUGCAAAAAUGAUAUGCAUACUUACAUGCAAACAUUCUUACCCAUAAAAUAAAAGUGAAUCACUCCUCAAAAACUAUUCAUAUUUGAUUUCAUGACUCAUAGACAGCACCAAUCUCAGGCGAGUUUUUCAUUUAUUAAGCAGAGGGUAGUUUUAUUUCUUUUAUUGGGCUCCACACACUUGGGACAGAGCAUUUACAACAACCUCUGCACUAAGUUUCCCUGCAGCUUAAACACUUUUCCGCAUAGUUAGGUAUCUCUGGUCCCCACAAAUUUAUUUGUGCCUCAAACUAACUAACCAGUAAGCUUAACUUUUCAGCUAAAAAACAGUGACAGAUGGUCUGUAAACACUGAACUUCUUGGACGUCUUCAGCAAUUUCACAGCUGCGAGAAGGGAAGUUUACAAAUCAGAAGUCAGUUCCAGGAAAGAGGAAGAGACAAGGUAGACAGAUUCCUGGAGAACAGUUUCAGAAUGCACAGUGACCUCCAUCAAUUGGGGAAACAGCCAGAAGCAAACAGAACUGACUGUGUCAGACUUGUGCAGUGGAGGACAGCCAGGGAGAAAAGAUACAAGUACCUUUGAACACAAAGGAAGGAAGACAACAGACAGAUCCUGUGCAGGUUUUCAGCUGAAAGAUUCAAGCACUGGUGACAAGCUGAAUUUAAUUUUCAUGUUUGUUUCUCUCUGCAUAGUUGGUGGCACCAUUCAAAAGUAUAAUUGCCUACCCCCAUGUGAGUGCAAUCAGUAGGAACAGGGAACUCAUACUUCCUAAGGAUUGUUCCCUUUAAGAGAUGCUGACUGAUAGCUAGGACAUGGUAAGGUUGAUGCUC